GAAUACGUCAGUUCUUUUAUAUCUGUCAUGGCUGUGUAGAAAACGUUGUUUGGAUGAUGUUAGUUUUUGGAAUAAAUAUAAAUUUAUUGAUCGAGUAUAUAGUAACAAGUUGUGGGAGAAUGAGUCUGGAAGCAAAUCACCUGUUCCUAUUUUACCCAGUGCCAACCCUGUGCUGCGAAUAAUGUGUUGCCACCUGUAUUUAUACUGACAGCGACUUAACGCUGUUAAGUCAUAUUACUCGUAAUUUAAGGAAAAAAAAAAAAAGUUCAUACGCUGUCUGUCUCUUUACUUUCUUUCUGAUAAAAGAAUUCACGGUUUCAACAACAAUCUAAUUUGGUAUAAGUGGAGGCAAAAGAGAUGGUACAAACCCAGACCAUAGAUGAUAACAGAUUUUUUCUUUAUAUACCUAGAUACCAAUGAUUCGAUGUGUCAUUCAAGAACCCACAAAACCUGCAGAUCUGAUAUCUUUCUUAUAACCAGUAAAUUGAAGAUCCAUUACUUGCAAUAUCAGAUGCAAAGGAUUACCCCCACCCAAACUUAAUCCAAUCUCAACCAAUGUAGAAUCCCCGUCGCCGGAUUUGGUGUUUGAUCUGAUGAGGACUCCGAAUUGAAGAUUGAUGUUGCAAUCGGCCAUAGCGGAGGAAAGGAGAAAAAGAAGAAAGAAGAAAUGGAACACUUGAUCCGAUGGUGGUUAGAGUAUUAAAGAUAUGGAACUGCUUCUUCUUU
rnacentral:lncRNA from 1 species